rnacentral:rRNA from 1 species
UACGAAGGGGGCUAGCGUUGCUCGGAAUGACUGGGCGUAAAGGGCGCGUAGGCGGAGUGCUUUGUCGGGCGUGAAAUUCCAGGGCUCAACCUUGGGGCUGCGUUCGAGACGGGCAUUCUAGAGUGGAGAAGAGGGUCGUGGAAUUCCCAGUGUAGAGGUGAAAUUCGUAGAUAUUGGGAAGAACACCGGUGGCGAAGGCGGCGACCUGGUCUUUUACUGACGCUGAUGUGCGAGAGCGUGGGGAGCGAACCGG